UCACAUAACUGGACGGGGUCUAACAGGUGAUCAGGAAUGCCUGUGGCCCAGAUCCGUGACCUUAUUGCACUUUGAAGGGGCGCUGGUCUAUCAUCCGCCCAAGUGGUAGAGUAGACGUCAUAAUUUAUGAUAUAAAGGCCACGCAAAUGCGAACCCCCC